UACGGAAGGCAGCAGUGGGGAAUAUUGCACAAUGGGCGCAAGCCUGAUGCAGCCAUGCCGCGUGUAUGAAGAAGGCCUUCGGGUUGUAAAGUACUUUCAGUCGUGAGGAAGGUGUUAAGGUUAAUAACCUUAGCAAUUGACGUUAGCGACAGAAGAAGCACCGGCUAACUCCGUGCCAGCAGCCGCGGUAAUACGGAGGGUGCGAGCGUUAAUCGGAAUUACUGGGCGUAAAGGGCACGCAGGCGGUUAAUUAAGUUGGAUGUGAAAUCCCCGGGCUUAACCUGGGAAUGGCAUUCAAGACUGGUUAGCUAGAGUCUUGUAGAGGGGGUAGAAUUCCAUGUGUAACGGUGAAAUGCGUAGAGAUGUGGAGGAAUACCGGUGGCGAAGGCGGCCCCUGGGACAAAGGACUGACGCUCAUGUGCGAAAGCGUGGGGAGCAAAC
rnacentral:rRNA from 1 species